ACCGGUCUCCGGUAGUGGCCCCCGGGCACCCCGGCAUCCGCCGGUCACCCGGGCGCUUCGAUCGAAGACCGGC
rfam:Micromonospora narathiwatensis strain DSM 45248 genome assembly, chromosome: I